UUUCGCCCUGUUUAUUCAAAACAUGUCUGUGUGAAAGUUUUAUAAAGUCUAGUCUGCCCACUGAUUAAUUUAAAGGGCCGCAGUAAUUUGACUGUGCGAAGGUAGCAUAAUCAUUAGUCUUUUAAUUGGAGGCUUGUAUGAAUGGCUGGAUGAAGGAUAAGCUGUCUUUUAUAUAUAAGUUGAAUUUAACUUUUAAGUGAAAAGGCUUAGAUAAAUUAGGGGGACGAUAAGACCCUAUAAAACUUUAUAUUAUUAAGCUUAAGUUGUAAAUAAUGUAAAAAAUAGUUUUUGUUUAAUAGUAUUUUAUUGGGGCGAUAAAAAUAUAAUUGUAACUGUUUUAUGAAAGAUAUACUAAUAAGUAUAAAUUGAUCCUUAAUUAAAGAUUAAAAGAUUAAGUUACUUUAGGGAUAACAGCGUAAUUUUCUUUGAGAGUUCUUAUCGAUAAGAGUAGUUGCGACCUCGAUGUUGAAUUAAAAUUUCAGCUGGGUGAAGCAUUUCAGCUAGUGGGUCUGUUCGACCUUUAAAAUUUUACAUGAUUUGAGUUCAAACCGGUGUGAGCCAGGUGGGUUUCUAUCUAAA
rnacentral:rRNA from 1 species